AUGAAGGCAUACACGGUGGCCGAGGACAAGCUCCUUUGUGAGUGUUGAAGGGACAUUGGGCAAGACCCCAAGGUCGGCGCCGAACAAAAGGCAUCAACCUUUUGGAUUCGUGUCCAUCGUGAGUUCCAUGAACGCAAAAAGUUUGCGCCGUACCAAAUGCAUAUCACGCGCGGGUGGGUGCCCAUUUCAAAGCGAUGGAGGGUGAUCCAACAAGAGUGCGACAAGUUCUGUGCCACUCUUGAGAGCAUCAAGGCACGUAUCAAGAGCGGCAUCGGCAUGCAAGACAUGGUAUGCAUGCACCCCUCUUUGUUUUCAUUUCAUUUAUGCUUGCAUGUCCAUUUUGCAUAUCCAUUUGCCCAUAUGCUUGCAUGCUAUUCAUUUGUAGGCAUUCUAAGCUUUGGAGGCAUUCAAGGUCCAACAUGA
rnacentral:rRNA from 1 species